rnacentral:miRNA from 1 species
UCAGCGUCUGCCAGCCUAAGUG